CAAAAACAUCGCUAAACGAUUUAAAUGGUUAGUCGUUUCUGCCCGGUGGGAUACUAAACAGCCGCAGUACCCUGACUGUGCAAAGGUAGCAUAAUCAUUUGGCUUAUAAUUGAAGUCUGGCAUGAAAGAAAGGACGGGUUAUUACUGUCUCCAAGAAGCUUGUAGAAGUUAUUUAAUAAGUGUAAAUACUUAUAACCAAAUAAUAGACGAGAAGACCCUAGAAAUUUUUUACCACGUUGGUUAAACUAAUUAAUAUUUUGCUGGGGCGGCAAAAUUACAAGUCUAACUUAUUUUUAACGAUUUGAACUAUAUAUAGAGUAAAACUAAAUUACUCUAGGGAUAACAGCAUAAUUUAUAUAAGUUUGUGACCUCGAUGUUGGACUAGGGAUCUUAAUAUUUAGAAGACGUUAAGGAGGGCUCUGUUCGAGCUGCGCACCCUACGUGAUCU
rnacentral:rRNA from 1 species